UACAGAGGUCUCAAGCGUUGUCCGGAUUCAUUGGGCGUAAAGGGUGUGUAGGUGGCGCGCUAAGUCGGGUGUGAAAUUUCGGAGCUUAACUCCGAAACUGCAUUCGAUACUGGCGUGCUUGAGGACUGGAGAGGAGACUGGAAUUCAUGGUGUAGCAGUGAAAUGCGUAGAGAUCAUGAGGAAGACCAGUGGCGAAGGCGGGUCUCUGGACAGUUCCUGACACUGAGACACGAAGGCCAGGGGAGCAAACGGG
rnacentral:rRNA from 1 species